AAAAAAAAAAAAAGACAUUCAAGAAAGGAGGCAAGCUGGCCCGGUGGCAUGCGCUUCUAAUAUCUACACAAAGGAAGCUUAGUCAGUUCAAGGGCCAGCCCUGCUACAUAGUGAGUUCCAGACCAGCCAGAGGUAUGCAGGGUAACAAGAUAGAGUCUCUCACUGAACCUGGAACUCACUGUUGAGGAUAGACUGGCUGGCCAGUGAGCCCCUUGGAUCCUUUUGUCUCUGCUGCCCUCCUCCACCCCCAGCUAGGGUUACAGAUGUGUGUUGCUGACACACUCAGCUCUUCUGUGGGUUUUGGGAAUCCAAACCUAAGUCUUUUAGCUUCUGCUGCAAGCACUUUAUCUACCAAGCCAUCUCCUCAGCCUUUGUAUUUUGUUUUGUUUUUUGUUUUUUUUUUUUUUUCUUCAAGACAACAUUUCCCUGUGUAGCCCUGGCUGUCCUGGAACUUGAUAUGUAGACCAGGCUGGUCUCGAACUCACGGAGCUCUGCCUGCCUUCUGCCUCCAGAGUGCUAGGAUUAAAGGUGUGUGCUACCUCCA